rnacentral:rRNA from 1 species
GACGAACGCUGGCGGCGUGCUUAACACAUGCAAGUCGAACGGAAAGGCCCUGCUUUUGUGGGGUGCUCGAGUGGCGAACGGGUGAGUAACACGUGAGUAACCUGCCCUUGACUUUGGGAUAACUUCAGGAAACUGGGGCUAAUACCGGAUAGGAGCUCCUGCUGCAUGGUGGGGGUUGGAAAGUUUCGGCGGUUGGGGAUGGACUCGCGGCUUAUCAGCUUGUUGGUGGGGUAGUGGCUUACCAAGGCUUUGACGGGUAGCCGGCCUGAGAGGGUGACCGGCCACAUUGGGACUGAGAUACGGCCCAGACUCCUAAGGGAGGCAGCAGGGGGGAAUAUUGCACAAUGGGCGGAAGCCUGAUGCAGCCACGGCGCGUGCGGGAUGACGGCCUUCGGGUUGUAAACCGCUUUCGCCUGUGACGAAGCGUGAGUGACGGUAAUGGGUAAAGAAGCACCGGCUAACUACGUG